AGAGUUUGAUCCUGGCUCAGGAUGAACGCUGGCGGCGUGCCUAAUACAUGCAAGUCGAACGGAGAUUGUAGCAAUACAGUCUUAGUGGCGAACGGGUGAGUAACGCGUUGGUGACCUGCCCCGAAGUGUGGGAUAACAGCCCGAAAGGGUUGCUAAUACCGCAUGUGGUUUUUCGGAUUAGAUGCCGAAUUUCUAAAGGAGAAAUUCGCUUCGGGAGGGGCCUGCGUCCCAUCAGCUAGUUGGUAGGGUAAAAGCCUACCAAGGCGAUGACGGGUAGGGGACCCGAGAGGGUGGCCCCCCACAAUGGAACUGAAACACGGUCCAUACACCUACGGGUGGCAGCAGUAGGGAAUAUUGGUUAAUGGGCGAAAGCCUGAACCAGCAACGCCGCGUGUGCGAUGACGGCCUUCGGGUUGUAAAGCACUUUUUGAGGGGAUGAGGAAGGACAGUACCCUCAGAAUAAGUCUCGGCUAACUACGUGCCAGCAGCCGCGGUAACACGUAGGAGACUAGCGUUAUUCGGAUUUACUGGGCGUAAAGCGCGUGCAGGCGGUUCGGUUAGUUGGAUGUGAAAGCUCCUGGCUUAACUGGGAGAGGUCGUUCAAUACUGCCGGACUUGAGAGUGGUAGAGGGAGUUGGAAUUCCGGGUGUAGUGGUAAAAUGCGUAGAUAUCCGGAAGAACACCAGUGGCGAAAGCGGACUCCUGGACCAAUUCUGACACUCAGAUGCGAAAGCUAAGGUAGCAAACGGGAUUAGAUACCCUGGUAGUC
rnacentral:rRNA from 1 species